CUACGAAGGGGGCUAGCGUUGUUCGGAAUUACUGGGCGUAAAGCGCACGUAGGCGGAUUGAUAAGUUAGGGGUGAAAUCCCGAGGCUCAACCUCGGAACUGCCUUUAAUACUGUUAGUCUCGAGUCCGGAAGAGGUGAGCGGAAUUCCUAGUGUAGAGGUGGAAUUCGUAGAUAUUAGGAAGAACACCAGUGGCGAAGGCGGCUCACUGGUCCGGAUCUGACGCUGAGGUGCGAAAGCGUGGGGAGCAAACAGGAUUAGAAACCCUAGUAGUCC
rnacentral:rRNA from 1 species